AUGGUACUCCCUCCGUCCAGAAAUACUUGUCAAAGAAAUGGUAGAUAUAGAUGGAUCUAGAGCUAAAAUACGUCUAGAUACAUCCAUUCCUCUGACAAGUAUUUUUGGAUGGAGUGAGUACAAA
rfam:Triticum aestivum genome assembly, contig: Triticum_aestivum_CS42_TGACv1_scaffold_131051_2BL